rnacentral:rRNA from 1 species
CUUUCGGGGGAGUACUGCCAGACUGGACCGGGAGAGGUAAGAGGGUACUACAGGGGUAGGAGUGAAAUCUUGUAAUCCCUGUGGGACCACCUGUGGCGAAGGCGUCUACCAGAACGGGUUCGACGGUGAGGGACGAAAGCUGGGGGGCACGAACCGGAUUAGAUACCCCGGGUAGUCCCAGCCGUAAACGAUGCUCGCUAGGUGUCAGGCAUGGCGCGACCGUGGUCUGGUGCCGCAGGGAAGCCGUGAAGCGAGCCACCUGGGAAGUACGGCCGCAAGGCUGAAACUUAAAGGAAUUGGCGGGGGAGCACAACAACGGGUGGAGCCCUGCGGUUUAAUUGGACUCAACGCCGGACAACUCACCGGGGGCGACAGCAAUAUGUAGGCCAAGCUGAAGACUUUUGCCUGAAUCGCUGAGAGGAGGUGCAUGG